rnacentral:rRNA from 1 species
UACGUAGGGGGCGAGCGUUGUCCGGAUUUAUUGGGCGUAAAGAGCUCGUAGGCGGCUUGGCAAGUCGGGUGUGAAACCUCCAGCUCAACCUGGAGACGCCACUCGAUACUGCCAUGGCUAGAGUCCGGUAGGGGACCACGGAAUUCCUGGUGUAGCGGUGAAAUGCGCAGAUAUCAGGAGGAACACCAGAGGUGAAGACGGGUUGCUGGGCCGACACUGACGCUGACAGCGCGAAAGCCAGGGGAGCAAACGGG